rnacentral:lncRNA from 1 species
CUGGAUGAGUGGAAUGUGAAUGUGGAGGACAUCAGGACAAACUACUUGUUGGGCUGCGUCUCUGACACUGAAUCGGGUUGAAAUGUGAAUGAGAACAUGCAGCCAAAUUUAGUAGUAGUUCUCAUGGAAAUAAAAUCAUCAUAUGAUAGAACUGCCAUAUGUAAAAUUCUCUCAAAGUAGCCCUCUACUAGGAACUUGAUGUUGUUGGAUAAACUGUCGGAGCAAAUAACCUGAAAAAUUUACAAUUGAAAAAAGGAUAAAUGCUAGCUGAGUUUUCUGUAGCCGGGAUUUUUUACUCAAAUUUACCAGAACUGUAAUAAAUUUCUUUGGUUAGUGGUGAACAUUAGAUUUCUUGGGAUCAGUAUUCCAUCAAUGUGAUCUCUUCAGCGCUCUCUUCCCCUCUUACUACAUAUUUUCUGUGUGAAACCCAUAAAUACAGCUAUUGCUGAACUCUUUGGUAACUUCUUUUUCCCCUCUUUUCAUCUGAAAGAUAUUGAAGACAAUUGAAAUCAUAACCAUUUUCUUCUUGAUGUCUGUGAUGGAUAUAUGUUCUUUUGUAUCUAUAAAUGCUUGCCACUAUAAUUGAUUGGUGAACUUUGAUAACUGUCACAACAUUGACAAUUUGGAUUGGUUAAACAAUGAUACGGAACUCUUUGAGUUUUCUGUCCUUUCCUGAGUUUUUUUGUUGUUUAUUUUUAGUGAUAGCUUACGUGGAUACAUUUUCAUGAACAGAAAAGCUGGUUGAAGAGCAGAGAAAGUUUGACGCAGUGAUUGCUUUAGAGGUAUGCACUCUUUGGACAACUACGUCUCUCUCUCACUCCCUCCAUUUGUCUCUAUUGGUUGUUUAAAGACUGCUACAUUUUUUAUUUUGGUGUAAUAAUGAUGCACUCAUUACUGCUAAGAGCAUUUUUAUGGACUAUUCAAGAUUCAAGUUAUCUAGCGUUUCACAUACCUUGGUCAUUUGCUAAUUCUUUAUAUACUUUUCGUUGUAAAUUUGUGUUGUUUUUUUUUUGGUAAAUUAUUAACUUUUACUUAAGGUGAUUGAGCACGUAGCAGAUGCUGCUGAAUUCUGCAAGUCUCUCUCAGCAUUAACUGCUCAUGAAGGAGCAACUGUUGUUUCAACAAUUAACCGCUCUAUGAGAUCAUAUGCAACUGCCAUUGUUGCAGCAGAAUACCUGCUACAGUGGGUAUGAUUCUGUCAAUACCAACACUUUAUUUAUUUUUCUAUUUCGAUAUGUAAUUAUGUAUCUGUUCUAUACAAAUGCCUUGUAGAGAUUUAACCCUUACUUUUAGGAUUUCUUUUCGUAUUCACAUCUUGUUUGAAAUUUGAUCUAAUUGGGAUCUUAUUUCCAUACUUUUUCACAUCUACAUUUUUUAAUUCAUAGGCUAAAAUGUUGAACAUGGGUUUGAAGUUUUGUCUACACAAUAUUACAAAUAUAAAAUUCCAAUGAAAUAGUAUUGUUCAGAACUUGGAUUCAGUGUCCUUCAAAUCAUGUAGGGGACCUUGUAUUGAAACAGAUUAGCAUUGUAAGGAGAAAUUGACAUGUGAAUACAUGUGUAGCUAUUGUCCCUGAAACUAGCUAAGAUUACCUCCAAAAAGAAAAUAGAAACCAUUCCUUUUUUUAUAAUUUUAAAAAACAGUUAGUUCUAAGAUAUGCUUUGUAACUCAAUGUCUGUCGAUUCUAUGCAGCUACCUAAAGGUACACAUCAAUGGUCGAGUUUCCUGACCCCAGAAGAACUCACCAUGAUUCUAAAACGUGCAGGGGUUGAUGUAAGCAAACCAAGCAAUCCCUUUGAUAUCUGAAACUGAACUAACCAUUGUGCGUUAUGACUAACCUCUGCGCUGCUGAAUUGUUGGGUGAAUAGGUGAAAGAGAUGGCGGGAUUUGUGUACAACCCUUUAACAGGGAGAUGGUCACUAUCGGAUGAUAUUAGUGUAAAUUUUAUUGCUUAUGGUACUAAGGAAAAGUAAUGAAGAAUAGGGUUGUUGAGGUGUGCCAGACUGGAACAACGUAGCGCCGCAAAUUCGUUUUGAGUGAGCCUCAUUUGAUGAGGCACACAUCUAGUGCGCCCACUCUCCCUUUUUGAAAGAUGGUAUGCGCAUAAUGAAGUUUUUUUUUUUUUUUAUUAAAUCACAUGGUUGGAGUUCUCUAAUGUAUCUUUAUUUUUUGAUUUGUUGUAUUGUCAAACUUUCGAUUUUGUUUGUAAUGUUUUUGAGUAUUUAACAAUAAACAUGCGACUAUAAGGAAAUAUUCAAAUAUUCGAAAUAGGUGCAGAUCUUGGUGGAUUUCCUUGUGUCAAGCUAAUAUUUAAAGUCAAUGACAUUUUAAUGAUGGAAAACAAUAUAACUAUGUUGUAGACUAGAACGGCUCGAUUUUCCAUGAAAGAUUCGAUAGAAGUAGUCUAUGUUUUAGGAAUUAAGAUUUAUAGAGAUAGAUUAAAAAGGUUGCUUGGACUCUCGCAAUCUAUCUUACGCAUAGAAGAUGCUACAAUGGUUUGACAUUGAAUCAAAUCAAAGAAUGUAGGUGAAAACAUCUUUGGCAAGUGUCACCGGUGGAUGAAAGCUCACGACGAAUGUUCACGGAAUAUUUUAUGGAUGUCAACUAAUGAGUUGACUCUAUUCAUGGAAAAUAUAAAAAAAGUUCAUCUACUUGAAGCUUAUUGAUUAGUAAAAUAUCUAAAUGUAUAGACUGUAAUUCAGGAAAUUCAAUUAUAAAUAGAGACUUUCUCUUCAUUUGUAGUCACUUAAUCGUAAUUUAUUUAAAAUAUUUUAUAUGCAUUGUUUUUUUUGUGACAUUUUUUAUUUUUUGCUGCUUUUCUUCUUUGGGGUUUGUUUUCGUGUCAAUAAAUCAUUUAAAGUGGCACAACUUACCAGACUAACAAUCACAUUCCACUGAGGAAGCAUAAAGGGAUACUGGAUUGAAUUUCCUAGCACCUGCUCCUCUAAAGCGAUGAAGUUGGGAUCAGAGGUAAGGGUAGUUCUUUCACACAAGUGACCUAAGAAUGCUUGUAGUAACAACUGAUGGUUCCCUAACAUGCUUUGUUAUUGAUGUUUGUGUCGAAACAGUGCUACUUUUUGGAUUAGAAAUUUUACUCACAGUCAUGGCUACUAGUAGCGAAAGGUCCUGCACCCCUUCUUCCAAACUUCAUACCUCUAUGACUGUAAAACAAGCAGUGCAUAAACUUGGGUUAUAUCGCAAGAAUGUUUCUUUCAUUACUAAAGACAAGAGUAAGCUUCAUACGAUUUCAAUUAACCCUUGGGCACUUUCCCUUUAAUAUUUCUAUUAAACUAAACAUCACUUCUACUUAAUCUAAAUCAAUUUUCACUUAUAUUUCAAUCGCAUAAACAUUUAACUUAUUAUCAACCGACAGAUCUUGUAAAAAAUAUACCAAUGAAGCAUGACAAUCAAAGUGAGUCAACGAUUAAUCAAUUCAAAUUUUUAAAAAGAAAUUAUAAACAUUUCAUUUCUAAAAUGUUAUAAAAAAAACAAACAAAAUAAUUAAUCAAUGUAUCAAUGAUAAAUUAUAGAUGGAUCAACUCCAAUCCACAUGAAUGUCAUAUUGACAAAAUAAGAUAUCACCAAAUGGAUGCAACAAAAUUGAGACUUGUACUCAAAGAGCUCAGUUUUCCAGUCUCCUAUGGCUCUCAAUCUUCGCCAGAAACAAACAGGUAAUUUUCUGUUUUGAUCUCUCUUCUUCCGUUUCCCCUAAAUUACCAGUACCCCCAUUCCAUUUCUCUUUCUAGAUUUCAUGUAAAUGCAGUUGCAUCGAACUCUCAUUUUGACCCUGUUACAAUUUUGUUAACUUUGAUAUGUUCUUUGAAUGUGAAUCUAUCAAAGUAGCGUUAUUCUACCGAUUUUUUUGUUAAAUUUUAUAACCUUUCGGAUUUAGUUUCGUCUGAUUCUUCCUUUACUGGGCGGUUGAAUUUGAUCUGUCAUUUUGGAGCUUUGAUCGUAUUGGCUGUUUUGGUUUGCUUUUACAGAAUGUAUAAUCCGAAUGCUUAAUCUGAAUCAACCUGUGAAUUCCACUGGAACUGCUAAUGAUGAGGUUUACAAGAUUUUGAUUUAUGACAAAUUUUGUCAGAAUAUACUGUCCCCUUUGAUACAUGUCAAGGAUCUUCGAAAACACGGUGUUACACUAUACUUCCUUAUUGACAAAGAUCGAAAACCUGUCCAUGAUGUACCAGCUGUCUACUUUGUUCAGCCUAAUCAAUCUAAUAUCCAGAGAAUCGUAGCCGAUGCUUCGCGUUCUCUCUAUGAUAGUUUCCAUUUGAAUUUCUCUGCGUCUAUACCAAGGCCGCUUUUGGAGGAUCUGGCUUCUGGGACUUUGAAUUCAGAUUCAAUCCAUAAGAUUUCGAAGGUUCAUGAUCAGUAUUUGGAAUUCGUGUCAUUGGAGGAUAAUUUGUUCUCAUUGUCCCAGAAGUCUACGUAUGUGCAAUUGAAUGAUCCAUCAGCAGGGGAUAAAGAGAUCGAGGAUAUUAUAGAGAGGAUUGUUAGUGGAUUAUUUUGUGUUUUGGCUACACUGGCUGUGGUUCCCAUAAUAAGAUACCCGCGCAGUGGACCGGCAGAGAUGGUUGCUUUGGCAUUGGAUCAGAAGUUGAGGGAUCAUUUGUUGUCAAAGAACAAUUUGUUUUCUGAAAGUGGGAGUUUUGCGAGCUCAUUUCAGCGUCCGAUUUUGUGUAUGUUUGAUAGGAACUUCGAGUUGUCGGCUGCCAUACAACAUGAUUUUAGGUACUGCCCACUUGUACAUGAUAUUCUUAGAUUGAAGCUUAAUAGGUUGAGUGUGCCAGGAGAGAAAGGUAGAAUGAAAUCAUACGAGCUGGAUAGGUCAGACCCAUUUUGGAUGGCGAAUGGAUCAUUGGAAUUCCCUGAAGUUGCUGUUGAGAUUGAAACCCAGUUGAACACAUAUAAGAAAGAUGUUGAUGAGGUGAAUAGAACUGGUGGGACUGCAGGAGCAGAGUUUGACGGGACAGACUUGAUUGGGAACACGAAGCACUUAAUGAAAGCAGUGAACUCCCUGCCUGAACUGACCGAACGGAAGCAGGUCAUUGAUAAACACACAAACAUUGCAACAGUGCUCUUGGGUGAAAUAAAGGAGAGAUCUCUUGACUCUUAUGUAAAGAAGGAGAAUGAUAUGAUGCUGAGAGGUGGCAUUUACCGAAAUGAGUUGCUGGCUGUACUUAAGGGAAAAGGUACCAAGAUGGAUAAGCUGCGUUUUGCUAUAAUGUAUAUUAUCUCUUCCGAAACCAUUAAUCCAGCAGAAGCAGAAGCAGUGGAAGCAGCAAUAGUAGAAUCUGAGGUUAAUACAAGUGCAUUUCAGUAUGUAAAGAAGAUCAAGACAUUGAAUGUUUCAUUGGCGUCUGCAAAUUCUGCUAGUAGAAAUAACAUUGUUGAUUGGGCUGAGAAGCUCUAUGGCCAGUCAAUUAGUGCUGUCACGGCAGGUGUGAAGAACCUAUUAUCUAGUGAUAGACAGUUGGCUUUGACCAGGACUGUGGAAGCAUUGAUGGAGGGGAAACCAAACCCUGAAAUUGAUUCUUACCUUGUAUUUGAUCCUCGUGCCCCUAAAUCGAGCUCUGGAACUAGUAGUAGCCAUCUGAAAGGACCCUUUAAAAAGCUAUUGUGUUCAUGAUUGGUGGUGGAAGUUUAGGGGAGUAUGGCAGCUUGUAAGACCUUGUCCAGCAUCAGCAACCUGUCAAGCAUAUUAUAUAUGGAACAACAGAAAUUUUAACCGGAAUGGAGUUUGUUGAGCAACUCUCACUGUUGGGGCAGAAGAUGGGAUUGGGCAAUUCUGUUGCUACUUCUUCAGCAAGCCAUUAAUGCAGCCUGUUGUUUAAUUUGCAGAGCCUACAAUUCGCUGGUCAAGUGCAUAAAGAAGGCAGCAUCAUGCAAAAUGGGGAUAACAUGCCAUGUUACCAAGUAAACGCAGAUCCGAAGGUGAUUAUCUGAGCAUCCAUGCCUUAAUUUUCAGAGCCUACAAUUCGCUGGUCAAGUGCAUAAAGAAGGCAGCAUCAUGCAAAAUGGAGAUAACAUGCCAUGUUACCAAGUAAACGCAGAUCCGAAGGUGAUUAUCUGAGCACCCAUGCCUUAUUUUUUCUUGCUGGUUUCAAUCGUGAUUUGAACCUUCAACUAACUAGAAGAACAUAUAUUUUUGUUCCAUUACAGUGAGUUUAACAUGAUUCAUUUGUGUAAUUUUGUAAUUGUAUUCUUGGAAAAAUGUCAGGAACUACGUAUUGUGCGUUUAACAUGAUUCAUUUGUGUAAUUUCUUUCCUGAUUGGUGGUGUGAAUGCACAUGCUCAUGGUUAUGGCAAUAAAUUUUGAUUACUGGAUUGGAUCAACAAAAUCAUUUGUCUCAAUAAAAUCCAUUUUUGGACACGACAAUAAUUUAUAUUCUCAAACAAUAUAUCAGCUCUAGAUUAGCAAAUCACUGAUUAUAUUUCCCUUCUGACAAGGAGAAGAAAUCACAGAAUCAAUUCACAGUAUCCUUUAGACUCCUUUUAUGUUUGAAUUUAUUAUGCAAAAAUAUAAGUCACAAAUUAAAUUUGAAGGCAAUUAAGAGUAACACGAAUGAUUUUCAAAGAUUAGUCUCCAAUAUACAAGACCAAAAUAACAGAACACAGAGUAUGAACAUAUGAUAUAAAAAGAACUCAUCUUCUGUUUCUAGGUGUUGCUAAAUUUUGCAACUGGAAAUUCCUUAGUCGAGAUUAGAUACUUAAAAAGUAGUCAACCCAUGAACCGUCAUCAAGCAGUUGUGUCAGGGAUCUAGGAGAAAUAGUGCUGGUUCAGUUUUUGCUGCAUAUCCAAACUUGUAUGAACUAUACUUUCUAUGUACUCCCUUGAGUUUUCCGGAUCCUGCUUUCUGAUGGUAAGUAACCAUCAACUUUGAACAUUCCCUGUUGACAUGCAUGACAAAAGCAUCCUUCAUUAGUGUUCUACACAAAGGUCAAAUAAAGCUAGGAAAGCCUAGCAAUCCAAAUAUAAUAACUUACAACAGCUGAUCUUCUGUGUAUUUAGUAUGCCACUCACUGGUCUUUGUCCAGUUCUUGAACCGGAAAAGACUGCACUGUGCUGUGUAAAUUGCUGCAGCAGCUAGCAGAGAUGGCUGAAACUUGAGCAUUUCAUAUUCAACCAUGCACAACUCAAUCAGGAAGAACGAGAGAAAUUCAAGCUGGUAUGCCACAGGGUAAUGUAUAUAUCUUAUCAGUUUUUUUUUCCUUGUGUGAGGCUUAACUAACAAAAAAGGUUUAACAAACAGUAAUCCAUUAUGAAUUAUCUACCUUUUUCUCAGAUUGGGCUGCCUUGAGAAAUCUCCUCAUGAAAACAUAUGGAGUUGGCACAGACAUGUGGAAUUGUAAAGUGUUCACCAUUAAUUUCUCCUAGAAACAUAGAGAUUACUAUUAAAUAUGUCUAGAGAAAUGCAAGGAAAAUACAGGACUGCUGUAGGAAAUUACCAUAUCUAGAACAUCCUUCCUGGUAUAUGCUUUAUCUGAAAUCAGAACAAAGUCCUCCACUAUUGGGACAGAAACUUCCUCAUACUUGCAUGCUAAUAACAUGGCUGUCAUGCCAACCAAUUGAAGCUUCUUUCGGAUCACAGUGCAACGCUCUAAGAAUCUGUCUAUGAGAUUGAUUGUAAGGAGCAAUGUUUCUUCCAUAAGAUCAAAUUUGUAGUGAACCUGCUCAAAAUGAUAUUGUUAGUAAUCUCUAGACAUACCUUGAACAACAAUUAAGUACAAAUUUUUCAAGUCAAUAGUAGUAGCACAUCUUUCCAAUGAGACAGUUCUACUGCAUGCAAAGUAUAUUCUUGAUUGCUGCACCCUAAUUGCCUUGAGGAAAAAGAAAACAAACUAAGGUUAGACCAUACCUCAAUGAGCCAAUCAAUGAGGAUGGCCCUCAUCUUCUCAUUGAUGUCAAAUUGCCUGUCCAUGUAAUUUGGAGAAACACAGGAAGAAACCUGCACAAAUGAACCCUAAAUAAGUAACUCAAAAGACCAAUAAUUCCAAAGAAUGUUUCUCCACCUACUCUGCCAUAAAUUGCCUCAUUGGCAAAUUUAAAUCAAAGCUUACCUCAGUUUUCUUGUAGUAAGCAUAGAUGUCAUCUACAUACUCAACAACUGCAAGUGGAUCUUUUGAAUCACUGCAGUCAAUAUCAAUGAUAGAGUUCUCCAUAUCUUCCAUUUCAAUGUCCUAUAUAUUGUUCAAUAUAAAGAUGAUGUAGUAAUCAUGCUGCUUUGCCUUCCCAAAAAAUAACCAUUUUCAAUAGUUAAUAAAUACACAUACCAUUUCAUCAGUUUCAUCUAAGACUGCCUCUGUGUGUUUCACAAACAUAGGGAGUGUAACAUCAUUACCCUCCCCACACUGUUCCACAUCAACGGUUUCGAAAUCGUCUAGACCACCGGGCUUCACUGUCAACUCACUUUGGUUCUUAGCUUCCUACAAUACAUUCAAUCCAACAAUUUCUAUUUAGUUUCCUAUGGUUUUGGUUUCUACAGUGAUUUGAAGUUGCUUAACAAAUAGUUUAAUGGAAAUCAUAAAGCUUCCACAAUAUGUGGUCAGUGUAGAUAGUACUUCUAGGAAGUGAUGCUGGUUGCUAACCCUUUCAACAGCCAAACUCCUAAACAUAUAAAAAAGAAAUUUUAAGUUUUUGAAGCAAAAUUUACCCAAAAAAAAAAAAAACAAAGAGGUCAAAGCAUAAAGGACAGAAAAGCAAAAAACAAAGAGCCAACUAGAUAGAACCUAGUGUCUGAUCUUUGUUCCAGAGCUGAUUUCUUAUUGCAAAUUUCAUCUUUCCUGUGUAAGACACAACUCAAGUCAAUCCCAAGAUGUACAAAGAAAACUGUAAUAAUGGAGCUUGGAAUUUUGACAGUUGAAAGUACCCUGGAAGUUCUCUUUUAUUAACCACACCAGAGUGGUGGAGUGAAGCUCCUAUAAUGUUCUGAUUGAUGCUACUCAGUGCCCUUCUUUGAUUUUGUUCCAUGUCCUUUACCAUCUUGGCACCACCCAUUCUCUGCCCAUCUUUCAGUUUACAAAAGAUUCCAAUAAGAACAAAAGGGAAAAAAAUAUUCAUGAAAAAUGGAACAAGUGUACAGGUAGUGUAGAGUAGCAAGGAGCUCGAUGUCCCUUAUGCAAGGUCUCGAGUUCCUGCAUUGAGAGAAUUUGAACCUACAAAUGGGAUCCGACCUAACUCCACUCUGGACUUAGUCAGGACUGAUCAUAUGAUAAAAGAGACUUACCAUUUGGUGCUGCAAUUGAACCUGGAUUGUUCUCCUUUGAUCUUCUCAUUCUUUUGUUCUUUUGUUUUUCUUUAAGACUAAAAAACCCCACUUCCAAGACCCUUCAAGAGAACCAAGAAUAUCAAACAAACUUUAGAUUCAUUGGAAAAAAACACCCAUUUUCUAAAAGAAUUAAAUGGAAGAAAAAAUAAAGAAAACUAAGCUAACUUGAUCACCUCCAAUUAAACGAAACUGUAAAAUCAUGAAUUUUUCAAACUAAAACAAAUCCUUAAUUUUGAUAUUGAAAACAAAAAAGAAGGGGAGACGAGACAAACCCCCAGUGAUUAAGCCUUGUAUCUCUCUCUUUAUCUCUGUUUGAUGAAAAGGAAAGGAAAAGAAUUAGGAAAGAGCCAACAAGUGGUGUGUGUUUUUGCACAUUGAUCCUUCUUUUUAUUUGAAACCUCAACGGCUAGUAAAUGGUUACCGUUGGAUGUAAAUAAAAUUGAAAAAAAAAAGUCACGAUGGUUCAUUGGACUAUUAAAAUUACGCCACGUUGUUAAAAGCCUUUUCGGCUAAGUGGGGUCUGGAUCGAACCCAGGAGCUUAAUAUCGAGCCCUGCUUACGCUCUUCUCCACUAUAAAAGAGCUGAGAAGUCGGUUUUUGUCAAAUUAUCACUUUCGUCCCUUUACUAUGUUCAUGUUUGAGAUAGGUCCCUAUACUUUAUGGCAAUAUCUGGGUUUUGGACUUUUGGUUCACUCGGCCCCUCGUGUCUUUUAAGGUUCGAAAAUGUUUUUAAUAUAAUGAAUUAGAAAAAUUAUUGUUUUUAUUUUUAUAUUUAUAAAAUUAAAACUAAAUAAAAACAUAUUUAUUAUUUAAGUCCAACUUCACCAAAUUUAUCAAAAGUCUCAUCUGAUUCCAAUCUAAAUUCCGUUGAAUGAGAUCGAUAAUUCAAUUUAAUUGAAUCCCUGGAUUAAACCAAUAAUAUGAUUUUUGGAUAGGUUUAAUUUCGCAUAAUUAUUUAUGUGGCUCUCUAAUUUUAUUAAAAAAAUCAUUUUAGCCCCCAUUUGAUUUUUCACAUCUUUUAGCUUUUGAACUAGCAUUUUUUGUUAAAUCAUCUCAAAAUUGAUGGAAAAGUUAACGUUUUUUUUUUUUUUUUUACUUUGCCGAUGUGGCAUAAACGUGGAUGACACAUCAGCAUUUAAUUAAAUUUUAAAAAUAUAGAAAAAUAUAGAAAAAUAAAAAAUCAUUAAAUUAUUUAAAAAAGUAUAAAAAUAUUUUAAAAAUUUUAAUUAAAUGUUGACAUGUUAUGUUAGCAAAGUUAUCGUUAACUUUUUCAUCUAGUUUGAAUGAUUGAACAAAAAAAUAUAUGUUCAAAAACUAAAAGAGACGAAAAAUUAAAUAAAAUGUUAAAAUAUAUUUUUUAAUUGAAUUAAGUAAUUUUAUUUGUGCGUUGUUCAACAAAUUUAUGAGAUUAGAAUUUAGAGGAACAAAAAAAUGUCUAAAAUAUUGUUAGUUAAAAUAUAAUAUGCAAGUCUUAAAACACUUGCAAAUAAUAAAAAUUUAUUACUAAGAAUUAUUAAAUCGUGUAAGAAUACUACAGUUAUUAUUAUGUAAUUUAUGUUCCAAAUCUUGUAAUAAUUUUUUUCUAAAAUAAACAUUUUAUUUAACUCAUAAAAGGAAAUUAGCCAACUAAAUUAUUAGUCUAGCGAUAAAAAAAUUAAUAUAAGAGAUAUUAUACUAAAGGUGGACUUGCGGUUAAUGUAAAAAUAAAUUAAAUGUACCACCCAUACGCUCAUUCAAAUUUACCGUAAAUUACUUGACAUUAAAAAAAAAAAAAAAGGGGGAAAAAGGAUAAUUAAUUGGAGUUAAGAAGGGAUGAGUGUAGAAAUAUAAAUAAAAUAUGAAGGUGAAGUAAACUUCAUUGAUUGAUUCUAUAUUCUUAUAUUACGUAAAGGAAGAGGCAAAAUGAGCUGGCACCAUUAUUUGAUUCUCAGCUCCAACUUUAGUUUUAAUGGCGGCCCCAUUCCAACGGAAAUGGUGGGGAGAAUGAGGAAGAAGCCUUGGAUAGGAUCCCCCACCCACGCCCACUGUGCAGGCAGCCCUUCUUCUUGCGUUCAAACCUACCUAACGCAAAUCGCCUCACCCUCCCUUCUUCUUCUCUGCAUCUUGUAGUUCGGGACACCCACGUUCCUUUUUCUUUUUUCUUUUUAAUUAAUUUUUAAAUCAGAUCAAAAAAUAAGACUUAGUUGACAAGGCGAAGUCAGAAAUUUUAGAAUUAAAUUAUAUAUUUUUAUAAUAAUAAAAAUAUAAUUUUAUUAUUUUAAUAGUUUAUAUUUUUAUAAUUUUUAAUAGAUUAAAUUAAUUUUUUAUUAUUUUAAAAUUUCAUAAAUUAUAAAAAAUCUAAAUAAAUUUUUUUUUUUGCGAGCCCACAUAUUUGUAGCAUAAGUUUUAAUUUCAAUUUCAAUUCUACGUAACUUAAAAAGAAAUAUUAGAUUGACAACCCUCAUUUUUAUUGUUAUUAAUAUUUCAUACACUAUAAUCGUGAAUGAGGAUAUAACAUGAAUUAACAAAAUUCUUUGCAAAAAAGUUAAAUAAUACUAACAAUUAAGAUGUUAAAUUUGUAGUUGCUUUAGUAUUGUUAUAUCACUAUAAUCCGACUCUAAAUUUGAUUCGGGGUCCAAUCCGAUUUAAUAAAAGUCGACACACAUCUCAAAAGGGAGGGGGCUUUCUUUUUCCUCUAAUUUAACCACUCAACUCUAUCUUAUUCCACAACUGUUGAUCUGGUAUAGCAACAAGUAUGAAUAGAUUACGUAAAAAAAAUUAUUAGAGGAUAUUAAAUUUAAAUUUCAAAUUUAUUUAGGUAUUAAUUUUAGGGUAAGAUAAAUAAUUCCUAAUAUUUAUCAUUGUUAAAAGAUCUUAUAGAUUGCAAUCCAAUCUAAGUAUCAUGGCACCGAAAUUGAGACUCAACAUAUUACUUUACCUUUUAAUUUAUCACAAUUUUGUCCCUACUUUAAAAAAGUUUUAAUGUGGUACCUCUAUUUUUAAUUUAUUUAAUGAUUUUUAUUUAGCCUAUCAAUGUGAUGCUUUUAUUUAACGGUGUUAAUUUCUGAUACCAUUUGACAUGUAACCUAAUGAUAAGCUGUCAAGUGUCAUUUUCAUCGGAAUUUUUUUAUGUCAGAAUAUGCUAACAGUCUCAACUUAAAUAAUCCAAACAAAUAAAUAAAACAUUUAAACCUCAAAAAUCAUUUAACAUUUAAACAAUAAUUAAAUAAAAAUUCAAAAUUUGAAAAUCCCCGAAUUUCAUCAUGUUCUACAUCUCAACUACAAUUUCAACAUUUUUAUCAUGUUAAAUUCAGUUUUCUUGUACUAAAUUUACACUUUUAGUACAUUUUUCAUAAAUUUUCAAUUUAAUUUUCACUAAAAAUUCACUAUUCAUUCAUUCUUGUCCAAUUCAAUUUUUUUACGCUGCUAUUAUUAUUCAAUCGAUAAAUUUUUAUUUUUGAGAAAAUUUGCUAUUUAUCUUUCGAAAUACUGUUAUUAGUGACACUACAAUUUUUAAGGUGUUACACUUCUCUUCCAACUCCCUUUCGGGCUUCCCUUAAUCCUCAAACAAUGACUUUUCUCAAGUAAACCUAGGUCGAUUAAAAUGAGGAAGUGUAACAAAAACUCAAUUUUUCAAAUCCAAUAAUCUCAAUGGAGUUAAAUGAAAUAAAAAAAUUGUUGAUUUCUAAUUUGUUAAACAAAUUAAAGCAAAAAAUAAAAACCUAGAAAUCGUUAUUCCCAAAUCCCAAUCUAGUUAAGCAAAUUAAAACAAAAAAUAAAAAACCCAACAAUUGAGUUAAGCAAAAACCCUCUGAUUUUUUUUUAUUUCCAAUUUGUUAAAUAAAAUAAAAACAAAAAAAAUCGUUGAUUCCUUAAUCCCAAUCGAGUUUCCCAAAAUUCUGAAAAAUUAGCUAUUGGGAUGAAUCAUUCUUAUAGCUCAAAGGGAGCUCUUUGCAUGGUGAAUGACACUGAUUGAGAAGAAACAAUGAGCAAAGGAUUUAAGAAAAGCGAGAAAAAUAUGUUAGAGAAUAAAGAGAAGAAAAUUUGAAGAAAUAAAUCAUUCUUUUUACUGGCAAAAAGAACAAUUUUUAUUUUUAUUUUUUACUUUUGGCUUUUAAAAAAAAAGGAGAAAUUUUUUUUAAGUCCUCUUUUUAACCGUUUAAGUUGGGUUUGAUGUGCUUUUAUCUUCAACGAAUGGCCUAGCAUUCAAUGCGGGUCAAAGCAUACGGUUGCCUGGCUGGUUAAAUGUUGUUAAUGAAUCUUCUACUUAUUUGAUGGAAUGGUUAAGAGAUUAUCUAUAGUUAAACUCUUCAUAACUUAUCAAUGGGUAUAACCUAUUUGGUAUGAAUAGUUUAUCAGCCUAGGCGUGGAUGUUCUUAUUUGGACAUCUUACGGAUUUAUGUUCUUAAUUUAUUGGCGCGGAUAUUGGUAAGAAUUGAUUGAAAUUGUAGUGCUUCAAGUUUUUGUGGCUUAUCUUCAAUUAAUAAUUUAGGAGAUCUCAUAUAGAUUAUCACCUGAAUUAGAUUCAGUCUUUUUUAAUCUCUAUAUUGCAAUUCCCUCGACACCAUAAAAGAGUCUCAUAUUUUUUGUACAUAAUUCUUGAUACAGUCUUUUUUUUUUUUUUUAUCUUCUUAUAGACCUUUGAAAUACUUUUUAGAUUGUGAAAACUAAAGAGAAUGAUGACUUUGGGUUGUACCAAGUUUGAAACUAAGUGGAUUUAUUUUUUGUCCUAUAAUCCUCCACUACUAUAUAUCAGGAUAUCAUUGACCCAAAGUGCCACGUGUCAUUCUUUCAUUGGAACAUGUGUCAUUUUGCAUCAGAAAUUAAUACCGUUAAAUGAGAGUACCAUAUUGAUAGACGGAAUAAAAGGUCAGAUACCACAUUAGACAAAUUGAAAGCAAAGGGACUAUAUUGAAAAUUUUGUUAAUGUACAAAGGAAUUUUUUGCAAUUAUCCCUUUCAUAAAAUAUGAAUAGUUAACUUUUCAAUUUUAUAAAAUAGAGAAAUUUAAUUUUUUUGUUCAAAGGUUUCCCGUUGACUUUGUGAAUUGUUUUAAUGAGCACAAAUCAAGACAAUGAUGGUAAAAGAUUCAACUCUCAAUCGAAAUUUGGGUGUGAAUUUUAUUAAACUAUAACAAAAUCAAGUAAAUUUCAUAUCUAAACCAAUCUCAAAUAUUACUAACUUAGAACCCCUUUUUUGCCAAAUUAAAGUUUUGGGAUUUUUAUAUGACAGUUUGUCAAUUUAGAUGGAUGAAAUCCAAUCAAAUAAUGAUGUACCUUCAUGAUGAUUUCCCGCUGUUCCCUACUUUUGUUUUUGCACCAAAAAUUCAUAACCAUCCGUGAUAUUAUCAACCCCUCAAUUUCAAGUUGUUGUUGCUCGAAGAUAAAAAUAAAUUUAUAAGAAAUUAGCUCAACGGCUAUUUAUAUUUUGUAUUGACAAAAAUAAUUCACUGAGUAUUGAGCGGAGCAUAGCAAUGAUAUCAAUUCUUAUAAAGAAUUUUUACUGUAAUUUUUUAUAGAAUAAUCUAGGAAUAUAAAAUAUGAUGGGAGAAAUAAAAAGAGACCUUGUUUCUAUGGUUUUAGGUGUGUCGUACAAAUGAAAUUUUGCUCUUAUAAAUAGUGACAUAAUUAUUUAAUAGAAAUAGUACCAACUUUUAAUUAUUGGUAACUUUUCAUUUAAAGUUAGCAGAUAUAAUGAAUAUAUUCAGUAUUGGAAAAAUAUAAGUUCAUCAACAAAUGGUUAGGUGUAAUAAUAAGGAGAAAAGAACUUAAAUUAGAAUAUUAGAGAUAACAUUGUUAGAAAGAACAAUCAUAAACUCGGGAGAAGAGGAUGUUAAACAUGAGGGAGUUGAUAAAAAGGGAAAGGAAAUUCCGAAGGUUUGAAUGAGUUGGAGAUAGAGAUGUAGAGCGUGGGUCAGUUUGUAAAACAGGAUUUGCACGUGAAUACGCGUCACAAUGUCAAAAAACCGCGUGAACUCCAUUAUUUCCCUUUUCUUUUUGUCUUUGACCUUGGUAUCUCAAUAUUUAGCAUUAGAUUCAUUUGAUUUUAGUUAAUUUAUUCGAUAUUAUUAUAUAAAAAUAAGAUCUUCAAAUUUUGAUUAAUACUGGUUCAUGUUCUAACUCAAAAUCUUCAGUAAAAAAAAAAUCAAAAUUUUAUCAUUGGCAAUAAGAGCAUUACUGUUUGCUUUCAAUUACAUCUUUUUUGCUGAUUCCAAUUUUAGUAAACCGGAAAUCCCGCGAACUAACCGUUAUUAAUCAUCCUCAUCAAUAAAACCGCCAAAUUAAAAAAAGAAAAUGACCAUGUUCAUUGUAUUAAUGCUCACACUAUCAGCUGACACACCCCCUUUUUUUUUCUUUUUACUCAAAGAUCACAAAUUUUCUGAAUACCCUUUGGGGAUUUAAGCUUGUUGGUUCGAAAUGGAGAGGCAAAUUGUGAUGGAUUCGAGUUCAUCGAGUGAAUUAGUUAGGGAAAUGAUGGAGGUGAUAGAGACGGUUGGAUCCUACGCUGGAUUCAGGGUAACUCAAAGGAAGGAGUGCUUGAAUUUGGUGAGGAGAUUGAAGCUUUUGGUGCCACUUUUGGAGGAGAUAAAGGAGCUUGAUUACUCAGUUUCGGGUUUGGGUUUGGCUUUCAAUUCUCUGCUUAACUUGAAGAAAGCACUGCUUGGAGCAAAGAAGCUGUUGAAGAAUUGUAACUAUGGAAGCAAGAUAUAUUUGGUAAUCAUUUAUAAUGCCGAUUGAUUUGCCUACUUUAUUUGUAUUUUUUUUCAAUUUUUUCAUUUGGCUGAUUCAAGAUGUUGCAUUUUUUCUGUUUGUUAAAAUUAGGCAAUGGAAAGUGAGGCGGUGAUGUGUAGAUUUCAUGCUGUUUAUCACAAAAUAAACCAGGCGCUUGAUAACAUCCCUUUUGAUAAACUUGGAGUUUCAAUUGAAGUGAAAGAACAAGUAAUGUUUCAUUUAUGUGUAUCUUAAUUUCAUCUUUCUAAAUAGAUUGCUUGAACUCCCAUUUUUUCACAUUGUUAAAUCAAUAUAUACAAUGAAUCAUUGCCUGGUUUGGUUUAGUUCUUAAUCAUUGUUUCAACCGAUGGACAAGAUAGAUACUCUCGUUCCUCUAUGCCGCACCGUAUCGUGUUCACAAUCGGGACAAUACCAGAUUACAGGCACGGCAUUAAACAGCACAGGGAAAUGAGUGUAUCCAAUUAGCCGCUUGUACUUGUGACACUUCUUAUUACAUUGGUUGAGUUUGUGAAUUAGCCCUGGAAAAGACCCAUUUUUCCUUUUAGCUUGUUCAAUAAAGGGGUGGUUAUGUUUUUUGAUUGAAUUCCUUCAGGUUGAGCUAAUGCGAAUGCAACUUAAAAGAGCAAAGAGGAGGACAGAUACACAAGAUAUGGAGUUAGCAAUGGAUAUGAUAGUGAUUUUCUCUAAAAAAGAUGAAAGGAAUGCAGACAUUGCUAUACUUGAAAGGCUGGCAAACAAGCUAGAAUUGCAUACCAUUGCAGAGUUGAAAGCUGAAAAAACAGCUAUAGCAAAACUGGUAAAGCAAAGAGGUGGAUAUAAUGAAACCAUGCACCAAAUUGUAGAUCUCCUGGGAAAGUUCAAGCAAAUUGCAGGGAUUGAUGAAACCGUUUCACUUGAUGGUCCUAUUUCAACUAGAACUGCCCAAACAUGUCAAUCUCCUUUAGUACCUCAUGAAUUUGUCUGCCCAAUUACGUUGGAAAUCAUGACAGAUCCUGUUAUUGUAGCAACUGGACAGGUAAUCCUCACAUUACUGCAUUUAUUAAUGUUCCACUUUUUUCAAGCAAACUGAGAAAGGUUUUUUGUUUUUGUUUUUGGUUGAAGACUUAUGAAAGAGACAGCAUUCGGAAGUGGUUAAAUUCCAACCAUCGAACCUGUCCAAAGACUGGACAAACUUUAGAACACUUGUCUCUAGCACCAAACUUCGCACUCCGCAACCUUAUUCUGCAAUGGUGUGAGAAGAACAACCUUGAACUGCCCAAAAAGGAUAAUUAUGCAUCUUCAGUUAAUUAUUCUGCAGAAAUCAUGGAAGAAAUCUCUUCAUUGGUUCUAAACCUAUCUUCUAGUCAGCCAAAUGUGCGUAGAGAUGCCAUUGUGAAGAUCCGUAUGCUCUCGAAAGAGAAUCCGGAGAACAGAAUUUUCAUUGCCAACGAUGGAGGAAUCCCACGUUUAGUUCAGCUAUUAUCUUAUCCAGAUUCCAACAUUCAAGAACACACUGUCACUGCCCUCUUGAACUUAUCAAUUGAUGAGACCAACAAAAGGCUUAUAGCUAGAGAAGGAGCUAUUCCUGCCAUUAUUGAGAUACUGCAAAAUGGAACUGAUGAAGCUAGAGAGAACUCUGCAGCAGCCUUAUUUAGCUUGUCAAUGCUUGAUGAGAACAAAGUUCUUGUAGGGAACUUCAAUGGGAUCCCACCAUUAGUAGCUCUGUUGAAAAACGGGACAAUGAGGGGUAAAAAGGAUGCAGCCACUGCACUUUUUAACUUGUCUUUGAACCAAGCCAACAAGUCCAGAGCCAUUAAAGCUGGCAUUAUACCACCAUUACUUCACUUACUGGAUGACAAAAAUCUGGGUAUGAUUGAUGAAGCACUCUCCAUCUUGUUACUUCUUGCAUCUCAUCCCGAGGGCCGGAACGAAAUCGGUCGAUUGUCAUUCAUCGAAACUCUGGUAGAAAUCAUUAGAAACGGGACCCCCAAGAACAAGGAAUGUGCGGUUUCAGUUCUGCUAGAGUUGGGGUUAAAAAAUUCAUCCCUUAUUUUAGCUGCUCUCCAGUUUGGUGUUUAUGAACCCCUAAGAGAAAUCUCCAUAUCUGGAACAAACAGAGCUCAAAGAAAAGCUAAUUCGUUAUUACAACAUAUGAGUAAGUGUGAACAUAUUCCUUGAACUUCCUCAAAUGGUUCCAAUUGCUAAUAUAUUUUCCCUUGUUUCAGUCUGUCAUUGUAAAAUUUGCAGCUUCACAACGUAUUAGAGAUUGUGAUUUUUGUGUCAGUUAGUUGUUCAAACAACUUGUUUUUGGUUUUUUUUCUAAUAUUCUUAAAAUAUUUUUUUUUCUAAAGGUAACUCUCUUGAAAAAUUAUUUCUUAAUAGUGACACAAUGAAACUAGAAAAAUACUUAUGCUAUAAAACAUGGUUAAUUUAGGGACAACAAUUUGGAUUGCGGAUCGAAUAUUCACAAAUAUCCAAUCCAAAUAAGGGUUACAAAAUGUUUAUCAUUUUGCUUCUAGCAUGACCUUUUACAAGGGAAGGCUAUAAAUCUGUUUAAUUCAUGUUUAAUUUAUAAUCCCUCCCCAACCUUUAAAUAAGAGGAUAUUGCGCUUUAACGCAUUCAAACUCACUUUCUUCUACACUAGCAAUAAUUGUUGAAACAUUUUCAAAUAUUUAUAGUGUUCCAACUAUGAAUGAAUGGGUGUAAUUAAUUAAAAGAUUAUAUUAUUUAAUUUUUUGAAAAAAAAAUUAUAACCAUCUAAAUAAUAUUAUUUGAAUAGUUAUAAUAUUAAAUGAAUAAUUAUGUGUUUAUUUUAAAGACAUUAUUAUUCAGAAAGACACCUAUUGAUGAAAGAUGUCUCUAUGAAGAGACAUGAAAAUUCCUAUAAAUUGGAAUAGGAUUUCAUUUGGAAAACACACCAACAAAUUUUAAUAUUCUUUCCAUCCUUCAUUUUCUAAUAUUAUUAGAUUAUUCUAUAAAGUAUUACGGCAGAAAUCCUUUGUAGAAAUUGAGUUUUUGUUAUACAUUGCUCAGUGCGUAGUGGACUAUUCUCGUCAGUGCAAAACGCAAAUAGUCAUUGGCUUCAUUGUAUCCUCGAGGUUAAUUUGCUUAGAACUCAUUUGCACACCGAAGAUAGGUAAGGUCGAAUAUAACCUUAAAGAUAGUGGCUUGAAACACGCCUUGGAGCCUUGUCCUAUUUUUUUCUGUUUGAGUUUCGCUCGUGUGUUCGAGAUUUUCCUCACCGGAGAUUUGAACUAACAAUUUUAAGGUUAUAACAUUCAUGAUGACUACCACAACACAUGAAAGUGGAACAAUAAGGGAGUUGGCUUCCAAUUUUGUCAAACUUGAUCGGUUUGAUGGUGGCAAUUUUCGACGAUGGCAGAAAAAGAUGCACUUCUUAUUAUCAACUUUGAAGAUUGCUUAUGUUUUGGAUACUCCAAGACCUGAAGAGAAUGAUAACGAAUCUGUUGCUGUAACCCGAGAAAGACAAAAAUGGGACAAUGUUGAUUACAUGUGCAUGGGCCACAUAUUGAAUGAUUUAUAUGAUGAUUUGUUCGACACCUACCAAAACGAGGUCACCGCUAAAGAAUUAUGGGACAAAUUGGAGACAAGAUACAUGACUGAAGAUGUUACAAGUAAGAAAUUUCUUGUUAGUCGUUUCAAUAAUUAUCAAAUGGUUGAUGGUCAUUCUGUUAUGGAACAAUUCCGUGAUAUUGAAAAUAUGUUGAAUCAAUUCAAGCAAUAUGAUAUGAAAAUGGAUGAAAUGAUUGUUGUAUCCUCCAUAAUAGACAAACUUCCUCCAUCUUGAAAAGACUUUAAAAAGAAGUCUAAAACAUAAGAAAGAGGAAAUAUCUCUUGAGACUUUGGCAAAUCAUCUUCGUAUUGAAAAAGAAUAUCGAAAACAAGAUCAGAACCUAAAUUCUAAAAAUGCCAAAGUGCAUGUUACGGAGGAAGUACAGACUACAAAACCAUUCAAGAGAAAGUUCAAACAGACUGAUAGAGCACCUAAGUUCAAAAAGAAACAAAAGGGCUCAUGCUAUUGUCGAAACCAUUUUUAUUUUUGAAAAAAAAAAACAAAAUUUAGUUGUCGAUGAAAAUUUAGAGUCGCCACCAAUCUUUUAUUAAGGUGUGAUUGGAUCACCUAGAAUGACUUUGGUCUACGAGUUUUAGAAAAACAGGUUCGUCAGUCAGUUACGUACGAGGAAGGAUUAGCACCCUCGUAACGCCCAAAAUUUGGUACCAAGUUGAUUAACUAGUGUCGUAAUGUCGAGAAUUAAUAAAUACAAUCCUUAGUUAAAUUAAAUUAUUUAUUAGGACUUUCUCAUUUUAAAAAAAGAAAAUAUCACACCCAAUGCGUUAGGGCACAAUAUUUUAUUCCUUUCAAGAUGAGUUGGUCCUAAAAACUCGUGUAAUAAAACUUAAGAAAACAUUUAAUUGUUUAAAAUUUAUGAAGAAAUCGCAGCCCAAUACGUUAGGGCACGAUUUCCUAAAAUCCCAAACAUUCAAUAUUUCCUUUAUUAUUUUAUUUUUUUUAAAAAAUCUUUAUCUCGAGAAAUCAACGUGUCACAUCCAAUACGUUAGGACACAACAUAUUGAAUUCCCGAUGACAAGUUUUAUUUUGUUUGAUCAAAGAGUAAUUCUCGAUUGUUAGAUUUAACGAAGAAAAUCGGAACCCAAUACGUUAGGGCUCAACUUUCUUGAAAAUCCUAAAUACGAGUAUUAUCUCUAUUUUGAAAAGUUCUAUUUUAAAUUCGAGUAAAAAGAUGAUGUGAUUGAAUGUAUGCAUAAAUGUUACAAUAACAAAUACAUCAAUGGCAUAGAAAUAAUAUAAACAAAUAAAUAAACGAAAUUAAUAUAAAAAAACAAUAAUCCAUGAUAUGCAAAGUAGGGUUGUGCAUAAUUCGGUUAACCCGAUUUUUUUCGGUUAAUCGACCGAGUUCGGUUAAUCGGUCGGUUAACCGAAAAAAUUUGGUCGGGGGUCGAUUAAUUUUUUUUUAUUUUUUCGGUUAACGGUUAAAUCGGUUCGAAACCGGUCGGUUAACCGAAAAAAAUCGGGUAAACCGAAUUUUGCAGGGUAGGGCCUAAAAUAGGUCAAAUUAAACCCGACCCAAUUUUUUCUCAAGCUCAACACCGAACUUUUUGGGUAAUUUUCGGGUAAUUCGGGUAAUUUUCGGGUAAUUCGGUUAAUCGGGUAAUUCGGGUAAUUCGGGUAAUUUUUAACCAAAAAUAAAAAACACAUAAUUUUCGAUUAAUUCAGUUAACCGACCUUAUUAACUGAAAAAAUUCGGUUCGGUUAAUUUUUUUUAAAAAAAUUCGGUUCGGUUAACAGUUAAAAAUUUUGGAAGGUCGGUUAAUUCGGUUAUAGCAAUUUCGGGUCGGUUUACCAAAUGAACACCCCUAAUGCAAAGUAUCAAAUAAAUGAACAAAAUAUAAAUGAAAACAUAAAUCAAUAAACAAAUGAAGGAAAUAAAAAAUAAAAAAAUACAAAAUAUAUACAUUAAAAUUAUGAGGAAUAAAAGACAAACAUAUGAUUUGCAUAUAAAAUUUUGGAUUAUAAAUUUAUACAAACAAAAUACAUAAGAAAAAUAUAUAAAUAUAUACAUAUAAAUUAUAAAAUAUGCAUUAAAAAUAUAAGUAUGUAUUUAAGCAUUUUCAAAAUAAAAAUAUAGAUAUAUAUGUAUAUAUAUAAAUAUAAAAAAAUAUUCAUUAGAAAAAAAUAUAUAAAUAUAUACAUGUAUAUAUAUACAAAAGUAAAAAAAAAAAUUGAAACUAAAUAUAAAAGUAUAUAUAUGUAUAUAAAAGUUAGGAAGUAAAAUAAAAAUAAAAACAUAUGUAUAAAAUAUAUAUAAGCAUACGUAUACUAUAUAUAAAACAAUAUAUAUAUUACAUAAAAACGAUGCAUGCGCAUGAAUAUAAAAAUAAAAAUAAUAAUAAUAAUCAUACAAGACUAAUGAUGCCACAUAAUAAUAUUAAUAAUAUGAAAAUAAUUAAUUUAAUAAUAAAAAAACUAAAAUAACAAAUAGAGCAUUAAAUAGCAUCAAUAAUCAAAGACCAAUGAAUUUAAAACAAAGAGUAUAAAAAAAAUAUAAGGCCAAAUAAAAUGUAAACAAAUUUAAAAAUAAUGAAUUUGAAAAUGAAUAAUAAGGGAAAAAGAGAUUUGAAAUCAACAAUAUACAAAUCAAAUAAUAAAUUAUACACAAAUCAACAAAAUAAGAACGCAAGAGAGAGAUAAAUUUGAGUAAAUACUCUUAAGAAUUAUUAUUACUCCCCACUUUCGUAUUUUACAAUGAAGGGAGAGGCAUCUAUUUAUAGUUGAGCCUCCCCAAAUCCAACGGUACAGAUUAAUUACAUCAACGGCUAAGAUUAAAAGGUAUCUACAAAUUAAAUCUCUAAGAUUACAAAAUCAUAUCUUCUAAGAUUGCAUAUCAUAUCUAAGACUACAUAUCAUAUCUAAGAUUGCAUAUCAUAUCUAAGAUUGCAUAUCCUUGAAGAUUAUGUUUCCAUAUGCAUCAAGCUUGUAGAUAGACCUUCAACCUUUUCAAGUAAUGGGCCAUCCCGAUCGGGCCAAAUGAUAUAGUUUUGGACUUUGUUUUAUUAUUUUGGGUUUAUUAUUUUUUUAUGAGCCCGGGCUAAAUUGGCCUAUUACAGCUAUUAUUGUGGAAAGCCGGGACAUUUCAAGAAUGAAUGUCGAUUUUUAAAGAAGAAAUCAUCUUCUAAGGUUAAUAAUAACGAAAAGUUCGUUGCAAUGAUAUCUGAAAUUAAUAUGGCACAAGAUGAUAAUACAUGGUGGAUUGAUAUUGAAGCAACCAAACAUGUGAACAAAGACAAAAGCAUGUUCACAAAAUUCACACAAUGUGAAAAUGACAAUGUAUUGUACAUGGGAAAUUCUUUCACCGCAGCAAUCAAAGGCAAACGGUUUGUUGAAUUACAAUUCACUUCUGGAAAGGUUUUAACAUUAAAUGAUGUAAAUUAUGUACCAAAAGUUAGGAAGAAUUUAGUGUCUGGAAGUUUGUUAAAUAAGUUUGGUUUCAAACUUGUUUUUGAGGCAGAUAAGUUUAUUUUGUCUAAGGGAGGAAUUUUUGUGGGGAAAGAGUAUACGUAUGAGAGUAUAUUCAAACUCAAUAUUAUUAAUAAGAAUAAAAAUAUUACUUCUGUUUAUAUGGUUGAAUCUUUUUGUUUGUGGCAUUAUAGAUUAGGUCAUUUGAAUCAUAGAAAAUUGAAUAACAUGUAUAAGUUAGAUUUAAUUCCUAUUUUUAAUAAUAAUAUUGAAAAAUGCAAUACAUGUAUGUUGACUAAAAUUACAAGAAACCCUUUUCCCUAAGGUUAAAAGGAAAACAAAAUUGCUUGAUUUGAUACAUAGUGAUUUAUGUGACAUACAUAAUACUCCUACAUUAGGUGGAAAGAAAUAUUUUGUUACUUUUAUUGAUGAUUGUUCUAGAUAUUGUUAUGUAUAUUUAUUGCAUUCAAAAGAUGAAGCGCUUGAUAAAUUUAAAGUUUAUAAAUCUAAAGUUGAACUUUAGUGUGAAUCAUUUAUCAAGUGCUUAAGAUCGGAUAGAGGUGAAGAAUACUAUAAUCCAAGUUAUUUUGAAUCCACUGGAAUUAUUCAUCAAGUUUCAGCUUCUUACACACCACAACAAAAUGGUGUAGUUGAAAGGAAAAAUAGAGUCUUGACUGAAAUGGUAAAUUGAAUGUUAUCAUAUUCAGGUCUUGGACAAGGUUUUUGGGGAGUAACUGUUCUAACAGCUUGUCAUAUAUUGAAUAGAGUUCCUAAUAAGGAAACUAAAAUAAGCCCCUAUAAACAAUGGAAGAAAAGGAAACCAAACCUUAAUUAUUUGAAGGUUUAGGGUUGUAAAGCUAUUGUCAAAGUUCCAACACCUAAACAUAAAAAAUUAGGUAAAAGAGGAAUUGAAUGCAUAUUUACAGGUUAUGCACAUAAUAGCAAUGCAUAUAGGUUCAUGGUAAUUGAACCAAAUGAUUCAAUUUUAAUUAAUACUGUUAUUGAAUCAAGAGAUGCUAUUUUUUAUGAAAAUAGAUUUAAUUUUAUAUCAAGACAAUUACAGCCACAACAAUUGAUUCAUUCUUCAAAUAAGAAUGAGAUUCUAUUGGAACAAAUUGAUAAUAAUGAUGAAUCUUGUCAAGAAUUAAGAAGAAGUAAGAGGAUUAAAAAGGUCAAAGAUUUUUGAUCAGAUUUCAUUAUGUUUCUUAUAGAAGGAAAAUGUGAAAGUAUAUGCAAUAAGAUACCUUAUUGUUCUAAUACGGAAUCUGAUCCUAUUACAUUUGAAGAGGCAAUGAAAUCUUAAGACUCUGCUUUUUGGAAAGAAGCAAUAAAUGAUGAGAUGGAUUCAAUAAUGGGAAAUCAAACUUGGAUCUUAGUUGAUCUUCCACCAGGUUUCAAACCAAUAGGUUGUAAAUGGAUCUUCAAAAAGAAAAUGAAGGUCGAUGGAACCAUUGAUAAAUUUAAAGCAAGGUUGGUAGCCAAAGGUUUUACUGAUUACUUUGAUACCUAUGCUCCAGUAGCAAGAAUUGCUACAAUUAGACUCUUAAUAUCACUUACCUCUAUAUAUAAUUUGGUUGUUCACCAAAUAUAUGUUAAAACUACAUUUUUAAAUGGUGAAUUGGAAGAGGAAGUGUACAUGGAGCAACCGGAAGGAUUUGUUGUCCCAGAACAAGAGCAUAAGGUAUGUAAGCUUGUUAAAUCUUUAUAUGGGCUUAAACAAGCACCAAAACAAUGGCACCAAAAGUUUGGUAAGGUUGUUUUAGCUAAUGGCUAUAAAAUAAAUGAAUCCGAUAAGUGCAUAUAUAGCAAAUUUAAAAAUGGAAAAAGUGUCAUAAUUUGCUUAUAUGUAGAUGACAUGCUCAUUUUUGGCACGGAUUUGGAACAAAUAGAAAACACAAAGAAAUUCUUGUCAAACAACUUUGCUAUGAAGGAUAUAGGUGUAGCAGAUGUUAUUCUUGGGAUUAAAAUAACCCGAGAUGAAAGCACUAUAGCUUUAUCACAAUCACAUUACAUUGAAAAUGUGCUCAAAAAGUUUGAUCUUUUCAACUGUAUACCAGAAUCUACACCUAUGGAUCCUCAAAUAAAAUUAGUAUUUAAUGCUGGUAGGAAAAUUGAUCAAUUAAAAUAUGCAAGUCUAAUUGGUUGUCUUAUGUACAUAAUGACUUGUACAAGACCAAAUAUUGCAUAUGCUAUUGGAAAAUUGAGUAGGUACACAAGUAAUCCAAGUAGUUUGCAUUGGCAAGCUUUGAAUAGAGUACUUAGGUACUUAAAGAAAACUAUUAACUAUGGAUUGUGUUAUAAUGGAUAUCCUCCAGUUUUAGAAGGGUGUUCGGAUGCUAGUUGGAUUACAAGUUUGGAAGAUCAUGCAUCUACUAGUGGAAUAGGAUUUCAUUUGGAAAACACACCAACAAAUUCUAAUAUUCUUUCUUUCUUUCCUUCAUUUUCUAAUAUUAUUAGAUUAUUCUAUAAAGUAUUACUGCAGAAAUCCUUUGUAGAAAUUGAGUUUUUGUUAUACAUUGCUCAGUGUGUAGUGGACUAUUCUCGUCAAUACAAAACGCAAAUAGUCAUUGGCUUCAUUGUAUCCUCGAGGUUAAUUUGCUUGGAACUCAUUUGCACACAAAAGAUAGGUGGGGGAGAAUAUAACCUUAAAGAUAGUGGAUUGAUACAAGUCUUGGAGCUUUGUCCUAUUUUUUUCUGUUCGAGUUCGAGUUCCGUUCAUGUGUUCGAGAUUUUCCUCACCGGAGAUUUGAACUAACAAUAAUGUUGAUGUCAACUUAGUUAAAACUCAAUCAAUAAUUUGAGAUUAUUCUUUUUAUUAUUUGAAUCAAUAUAUUUGGAUGGUUUACACAAUGCAAGUUUAAAAACUGCAAUUACACGAAACCAAGCUGAAUUCUAUUUCUUAUUUCAUAAAUAAAUCAUUUUUAUUUUUAUUAUAUAAAAAUAUUUUAUAUUUAAAAUAGUGAAAAUAAUUUAAAAGUUCUAAAAAAAUUUUAAAAAAUUUAAAACAAAAAGUAAAACAACGAAAAAUCGAGAACCAAACCAACCUGAAUUGAGUUGAAUUAUGAUGGACACUAAAAACCUAAUUGAAACAAACUGAUAUCAUCCCUACAUGUAAAUAACUUUAUCGUAGAUUUAUAGUAUAUACAAUUAACACUAUAUAAUUAAGGUAGAUUAGUAAUAAUGUGUAACCCUAUAUAGUAUAUACAACUAUGUUACUAUAAUGUACAUUUGUAUAUUAAUGAUACGUAACCUUAAACCUUAAAUGUGCAACUAACCUUAUCGUAUAUUAUUGUUAUACUUAUAUCCUUACCUUAUAUAGUAAUAAUGUGUAACCCUAUAUAGUAUAUACAACUAUGCCACUAUAAUGUACAUUUGUAUAUUAAUGAUACGCAACCUUAAACUCUAAAUGUGCAGCUAACCUUAUCAUAUAUUAUUGUUAUACUUAUACCCUUACCUCAAUUUAGACCCAAUUGGACUCUCCUUUGAGCCAUUCAAGAUCCAAUGAGUGGCAUAAUUGGGUAAGAACCCUCGCCUGCCUAUAAAUACCCUAAGGACUAACAUAGUAGGGAGACUUCUUUUCAACUAUCGACCUUAGAACAAGUGAACUAACCUUCUUCAACACCACCCCCUCUCAUCCUUCUCUACUUCCAUUGAUAUUGUGUAUUAACAAUUAUAAUAUAUACAAUUAGCAUUAUAUAAUUAAAGUAGAUUACUAAUGAUAUGUAACCCUAUACAACUAAGUUAUUAUAAUGCACAUUGUUAUAUUAAUGAUCUUAAAGCUUAAGUUCAAAUCUUGUUCUAGUAUUAUUUUACUAAAAAAUAUGAAAAGAUAAAAAUAUCCUUACACUGAUAUUUGUUAAUAUGUAAAGUAAUAGUAUUUUAGUAAUUUUUUAACUGAAUUGGUGCUUAGUUGACUUAUCACCAACUCAAUCAGAAGUUUAAUAUAAGAUUAUAAGUAUAAAUAUUAAAUAAUGGACCCAUUGACAAUAAUAUAAUAAAUAACACUUGAAAUUUAAAAUCUAAUUUAUGAUUUUUUUAAUAUGAAAUUUUAAAUACUAUUAAAUAUUAUUAUAAUUUAUACAAUUUUUAAUGAAAAUAAAAUUUUUAUUAAUUCUCUUUAAAGUUGGACAUAUAAGUAUUAGCCCAACAUAAACCUACAACAAUUUUUAAAGAAAAUUCUACAAUGCCCAAUUUAUUAAAAGAAUUUUUUUCCCCCAAUUGAAACUCACAGCCAUUGACUUCCAAGUCCCAUUUCAAAUUUCCCAAAAGGUCAAAACCUAAAAUUUCCCCCAAAUCCCCCAGCCCUCGACUCUCAAGUUGUCCUAACCACUGUCUAGUACUGGUCAAGCACCGUCAACUGUUUACCGUUGACUAUUAACCACCGACCUCCAAUUUCUCGUUUAACUGGUUAGAUUUUUUCCUCAUUUGACUAUUUAUGUGCAUUCUUGGAACCAUUUACUAAUCAAUUAUUUAGCUAAUUUCAUUUGUAAAUUUUCUCAAGAAGAGGAAUAAGCAAUGACUUGAAGGAUGGAAUGAAAAGGGCAUAAAAUGUGAUCGUAGAAUUUUGUGAGAAAAUAAAGUCAGGCGUCAAAAUAAAAUUCAGAAAUAAAAAUAAUGUUGAAGAAGACGUAAGAGAGCAAAGUAAUGACAUUAAUUGCAUUGAUUAUUGCAAUAUGUCACUGCUCAGUUCUAUUCCUUCCUCUACAACCCUGAUCCAUAUCAGUUUUCUUCAAAUAUUUCAAUGAAUUUUCUGUAAUAUUUGGAUUUUCCCUGAUUUUUUGUUUUUAUAAAAUAUUUUUUAAUCUGAAAGUAUGUUUAUAAAAUAUAAGAAUUUCUAAAAUUUUAUAAUUUUUUUAAUUUACAUAAAUUUUCACAUUUUUUGAAUUUUUUUUAAAAAAAUUAUAAUUUUUAAAUAAUUUAUUGAUGUGAUAUAUAUGAUGAAAUAGUCCACUCUACAAUUAAGUACAUGUACAUCAGCAAGUAUAGUUGAUCAUUAGCCAACUAGCUGCCACAUCUAAUUCUAAUUUAUCUGAUAAAGAUUAAAAGAUUAAAAUUUGCAAUUAGGCCUUUUAUUUAUUAUUUUUUAAAGUAGCAUAAAAAAUUUGGACUUUUUGUUUUUAUUUUUUUUCAAUAUUCUUAUAUGGAAAUAUAUAUAAAAAUAAAAAAAUUCAUGGGCUUGAUCCUGGUUGGCUAGCCUACUAAUUGAAGUUAAAUGUCUAACUUAUACCCUAGACCCUAAGCCUUUCUUCCUGGCUCCUAAAGAUACCUAUCCCUGUAAUGGCUUCUUGAAUGUUCCUAGCCCAACGUCGGUGGUUCGGUUCUUCUCUGCUUUACCUUUUCAACACCCUGUUUCUGUUUUUGGACCUCAAAAUAAUGUUACCCCCAAAUCUAACAAGUUUAAAAAUGUAACACCCUUAACUCUUAUCCGUUACCGAAAUAGGGUUACAGAGCAUUACCAAACUUUUCAAAUCAAAUACGAACAUUUCAUAUCCAUUAACACACAUAUCAAAAACUAAUCAUAGUCACUCAUAUUGUCCCUUAUAUGAGCCCUCAAGACACAAAAUAUGCACUUAAAAUGAAUCGGAACUAAACUAGGAACUCAAAGAAUUUUUCACAGAACUUCAAAACGUUUCCUAUGUGUAGGGGACACGCACCCGUGUGGCCAGGUCGUGUGGCUUACACGGUCAAGAGACACACCCGUGUCUUAGGCCGUAUGGGUACUCGAAGUGAGGCACGCAGCCUGGGCACACAGGCGUGUGUCCCCUGCACCUAGGAAAAAUUUUGAAGUUUUGUGAAAAACUCUCUAAGUUCCCGAUUUAGUUCUGAUUCAUUUUAAGUGCAUAUUUUGGGCAUCGAUGGCUCAUAUAAAGGACAAGAUGAGUGACUAUGAUUAGUUUCUGAUAUGUAUGUUAAUUGAUAUGAAAUGUUAGUAUUUGAUUUGAAAAGUUUGGUUAUGCUCUGUAACCCUAGUCUGGUGACAGAUAAGGGUUAGGGGUGUUACAUUUAGUGGUAUUAGAGUUAUGGUUUAGUUGGUUCUUGGAUUGAACAUAGCAUGCGAAAUGUCUAGAAACACAUGUCAUAUAAAUGUGUGAUAGUGUGAGGUGUAUGAUCCAAUCUAACCUUUGUUUUCUUAUAAAUUGUAUAGAUGUUAGAUGGAUCUGAACGUGCUGACCAUGAUGAGGUCAGUAGUAGAGCACCGACUGCUGAACAUGGGAUGAGUAGUAAUGUCUCAAUCCCUCUGGCUCAGGAACAAAAACAUAAAAAUAUAUUCUUUGGGUAUAUGAACCAGUGGUUCAGUGAAUUUAUGCAAGAAAGAAAUCUGGCUCAACAACUUCUACCCUCUACUGUACCGCCUGUAGUACCUCAGGUUGCACAUCCACCUCCUCCAGUGACUGAAUCUAGUAAAUGUACUCCAAUUGAGAAACUCUGAAAGUGUGGGGCUGAAGAAUUUUAAGGUAGGUCAAAAGAUGAUCUAGUUAAAGCCGAGUAUUGGCUUCAAAAUACAAUAAAGGUCUUUGAAGAAAUGGCUAGCUCCCCUGAUAAUUAUCUUAGAUGUGUUGUUUCAUUACUGAAAGAGGAAGCAAAUAACUGGUGGUUGACAAUAGUGGCUGUAGUGUCAAAGGAGAAAAUUUUUCGGGAAUUUUUCCAAACUGAAUUCAAGAAGAAGUAUGUCAGCAAAAGAUAUUUAGACAAGAAGAAGAGAGAAUUUCUUGAGUUGCGCCAAGAAAACAAAUUAGUAGUUGAGUAUGAAAGAGAAUUUGUAUACCUCAAUAAAUAUGCUCGAGAAAUUGUGCCAACCGAAGAAGAAAUGUGCAUUCGAUUUAAAAAAAAGUUAAAUGAUGAAAUUCGAAUGAUGAUUGGAGGCAAUGAAAUUCGAGAAUUUGUUGUUUUGUCAGAUCGUGCACAGAAGAUGGAAGAGGUGUACAAUCAAAAAAUGCAAAGGGAUAAACGGAAUCGAGAAUCUUAUAAAAGAGGUUCUUCUAAAACAUUUUUGGCAUCACCUGCUAAAAAGUCUAAAGAUAAUUUCAGUCGAGCUAUCUCAUUGCCUGAACGAUCAAAUAAAAACAAGAUGAUUCAACCUGAUUACGGGGUAUCUACUAGACUCGCUUUUAGUAUGGGUAGUAUGCAAAAUACUCCUAAGCCUAAAUGCAGAUAUUGUGGGAAAUACUACCUUGGCGAGUGUAGAAGUAAAGUAGGGGCUUAUUAUAAGUGCGGAGCAACUGAUUAUUUUAUCCGAAAUUGUCCUCAAUUGUAAAAAGAAGAAGAAGAGCAGAAAGAAAAGUAAUUGCCUACUUCACAGAGAAGUAGAUGUUCGGGCCAAAAUAGUGUCACUAGGACCGCUCAUUCGGGUAUGAAAUAUAUUACUGCUCGGUCAGAGGCUAGAGCACCUAUGCGUACCUAUGUCAUUCGAGUAAGAGAAGAAGCUACGGCUCUAAAUGUGAUUACUGGUACAUUCUAUCUCUUUGAUGCUACGGUGUAUGUAUUAAUUAACCCAGGUCCACUCAUUCUUAUAGUUGCACUACAUUAGUAACGAAAAAGAAAUUGCCUGUUGAAUCUACUGAUUAUGAUAUUCAAGUUACUAAUCUAUUAGGUCAAAGUGUGAUAGUUAAUUUAGUGUGUCGAAAUUGUCCACUGAAAGUUAAGGGCUGUAAGUUCCCUGCUGAUUUGAUGUUGCUACCUUUUCUGGAAUUUGAUGUUAUUCUGGGAAUAGAUUGGUUAUCUAUGCAUGAUGCUGUAGUAAAUUGUAGACGGAAACAGAAUGAUUUGAAAUGUCAAACAGGAGAGAUGAUUUCAGUUGAGUCUGAGAAUUUGAAAGAUAUUGUUAGAAUUAUUUCAUCAUUUUCUGCUCAAAUAUUGAUGCAAAAAGGUAAUGAAGCAUUUUUAGCAUACAUCCUUGAUACUCGGGAUUCAGAAUCGAAGUUAGAACAGUUACCGAUUGUUAGUGAGUUUGUUGAUGUAUUUCUUGAAGAAUUGUCGGGUUUACCACCUGAUCAUGAAGUUGAGUUUGUAAUUGAUGUGAUUCCUGGAACUGCUCCGAUAUCAGUAACACCAUACCGUAUGGCACCAGUAGAACUAAAAGAAUUAAAGGCACAAUUGCAAGAGUUAUUAGAUCGAGGGUUUAUCAGACCGAGUAUGUCUUCCUAGGGUGUACAUGUUUUAUUUGUGAGAAAGAAAGAACGUGAUUACAGACAGUUGAAUAAAGUCACAAUAAAAAAUAAAUACCCUCUGCCUCGUAUUAGUGAUUUGUUUGAUCAACUCAAAGGUGUCGCAGUGUUCUCGAAGAUAGACUUCAGAUCCAGGUAUUAUCAAUUGAAGGUUAAAGAACGUGAUGUACCAAAGACUGCUUUCAGAGCUCGUUACAGUUAUUAUGAGUUUUUGGUAAUGCUAUUUGGUUUGACUAAUGCCUCUGCUGCUUUUAUGGAUUUAAUGAAUCGAAUUUUUCAACCUUAUUUGGAUAGAUUUGUGGUUGUGUUUAUUAAUGAUAUAUUAAUCUAUUCCAAGCUAAAAUCCGAGCAUGCACAACAUUUGAGGAUUGUAGUACAGACUUUGAGAGAAAAGCAGUUGUAUGCAAAGUUUAGCAAAUUUGAAUUAUGGCUUCACGAGGUUGGAUUCUAGGGACACGUAGAAUCAACUGAAGGGAUUUGGUUUGAUCCGAGUAAAGUUUCUGCUGUGGUGAAUUGGAAAACUCCAAAAAAUGCUUCAAAAGUGUGAAGUUUUCUGGGUCUAGCAGGUUACUAGCGACAUUUUGUCAAAAAAAUUUCGAUUAUUGCUUCGUCAUUAACCCGAUUAUUACAGAAAAAUGUUGAAUUUGUUUGGUCCGAUUAGUGCCAGUAGAGUUUUGAUCAGCUGAAGAAGAUGUUGACGGAAGCUCUAGUUUUGGCUCAGCCAGAAUCUGCCGUACCAUAUGUUGUUUAUAGUGAUGCGUCUUUAAAUGGUUUGGGUUGUGUACUGAUGUAGUCAGGAAAGAUAGUAGCUUAUGCUUCUUGAUAAUUAAUGCGGCAUGAGAAGAAUCUAGCGUACCGUAUGUUGUUUAUAGUGAUGCGUCUUUAAAUGGUUUGGGUUGUGUACUGAUGCAGUCAGGAAAGGUAGUAGCCUAUGCUUUUUGAAAAUUAAUACUGCAUGAGAAAAUUUAUUCUACAUAUGAUCUUGAGUUGGCUACAGUCGUAUUCGCUUUGAAGAUUUGGAGAUAUUAUUUAUACGGUGAGAAAUGUUACGUGUUCACAAAUCACAAAAGUCUAAAGUACUUAAUGACUCAGAAAGAGUUAAAUUUGAGACAGAGACGGUGACCAGAAUUACUGAAAGAUUACAAUCUGGUUAUUGACUACCCCUCGGGAAAGGCUAAUGUAGUUGCGGAUGCACUUAGUCGAAAGUCGUCAUCGUUUGCACUUCGAGCGCUGAACGCUCAUUUAACUUUUAAUGAAGAUGGUACUGUAUUAGGAGAGUUGAGAACGAAACCUUUGUUUCUUCAACGAAUUCGGGAAUUGCAAGAUGGUGAUUCGAAAUUGGUGUUGAAACAACAGAUGGUUCAGGACAAUCUGAGUUCAGAGUAUAGUAUUUAUGAUAGAGGUAUGUUACAUUAUCACAAUCGAAUUUGUGUUCCAAAUAAUUCAAGUUUGAAAAGUGAUAUUCUUUCUGAGGUUCAUGGUAGCAUGUAUUCUAUUUAUCCGGGUAGUACAAAGAUGUAUUGUGAUUUAAAAAGGAUGUAUUGGUGGCCGGGUAUGAAACGGGAAAUUUUUGAAUUUGUAGCAAAAUGUUUGAUUUGUUAGCAAGUGAAAGCAGAACAUCAGGUACCAACGGGCUUACUACAACCUGUUAUGAUUCCUGAAUGGAAGUGGGAGCAUGUCACGAUAGAUUUUGUAUCUGGUUUACCUUUAAAUCCGAGAAAGAAAGAUUCGAUCUGGGUGACUAAGUCGGUACAUUUUAUUCCAGUCAGAACAGAUUUUACACUUGAGAAAUUGGCGGAAUUAUAUAUAUCUGAGAUUGUGAGGUUACACGGGGUUCUAACAUCUAUUAUUUCAAAUCGAGAUCAGAGGAGUAAACUGCAAGAGGCUCUACGUACUAAGUUUAAUUUCAGUACAAUAUUUCAUCCUCAGACUGACGGACAAUCGGAACGAGUGAUUCAGAUUCUGGAAGAUAUGUUAAGAUGUUGUAUACUGGAGUUUGGAGGUAGCUGGGAAAGGUAGUUACCGUUAGUUGAAUUUGUAUAUAAUAAUAGUUAUCAAUCUAGUAUAAAAAUGACACCGUUUGAAGCUCUUUAUGGGAGGAAAUGUAAGAUGCCAUUGUAUUGGUCUAAAUUGAGUGAAUCUAAACUAGUAGGAGUUGAUUUGAUUCAAGAGACUGAAGAUAAAGUUCGGAUUAUGUGGGAUAGUUUGAAAGCUGCUUCUAAUUGCUAAAAAUUGUAUGCAGAUUUAAAAAGAAAAGAUAUAAAAUUUGUUGUUGGUGAUCGAGUAUUCCUGAAAGUCUCUCCAAGGAAGAAAGUAUUACGGUUUGGUAAGAAAGGGAAACUGAGUCCAAGAUUUAUCGGACCGUAUGAAAUUAUUUAAAGAAUUGACCCUGUAGCUUAUAGAUUAGCUUUGCCUCCUAAACUUGAGAAAAUUCAUAAUGUGUUCCAUGUAUAGAUGUUGAGACGGUAUAGAUUUGAUCCUUCACAUGUGAUUCCUCAUAAUGAGAUUGAGUUACAGCCAAAUAUGACGUAUUCAGAAGAGCCGAUGAGAAUUUUAGCUCGAGAGGUUAAAAAGUUACGGAAUAAACAAGUACCGUUAGUAAAAGUAUUGUAGCAUCGACAUGGUUCUGAAGAAGCUACUUGGGAAAAUGAAGAAUAAAUAAGAGUACAGUAUUCGAAUUUAUUCUUAGGUAACAAAUUUCGAGAACAAAAUUUCCUAAAAGGGGGAGAGUUGUAACAACCUAAUUUUUAGUGGUGUCAAAAAUAGUAGUUCGAGACCACCAAAUCCAACGAGUAAGCUCGUAAAUUGUAUUAUUUAGUAUUUACAUGUCAAACGUGGUUUUAGAAAUAUUUUUGAAUUAGUAAUUAAUGUAUUAUAGUAAACUAUUAGGUUUGAGUGGUAAAAACCUAGGUUAAGUGGUUUUAGAAAAUGAGGUAUCGAGACCUCAUUUCUAUAAAUCGAGCCAUAAAUAUUUUUAUAAAUAUUUACGGAGAGUCAUUAAGGUAGUAUUAAAGUUUCAUUAGAAAAUUUUAUCGUUUCGAUAGUUAAUUAACUAAAAAUGGCUAAAUUGAAAAAUGUACAAAACUUGCUAAUUAAAAGAAAUAGUGAUUAAAUGGCUUAAAUGGUAAAUAAAGGAGGACUUAAAGAGCUAUUGAGCCUAAAUUAAAUGGCUGAGGCCACAUAGGCACAAAAAUAUAAUAAAAUGAUGAGAUUUAAGGGCAAAAUUAGAAAUAAAAUAAAAUUAAAAUAGCCAAAAUUAGAAAUAAAAUUAAAAUGAUGAAAUUUCAGAGAAUAGUCCCUGAACUUCUGCAAAUCUUACAAUUUAACCCAGGUAAGUUCGUAUGGUUAAACUUUAAUAUUUAUAUUGAAUUGAUUAAUGAUAUUAUGUAUUUAUUCUAUUGUUGAAAAUGGAAUAUUGUUUAAAUUAUAAAUUUAAAGUGAAUAUUCGGGUUAAAUGGAACGCGGGAUUUGAGUACUAUCAUUGUGUGGCGCAAGACGGCAAUGGAAGAAUUGACGGAAAAUUACCCAAGUAAACUGAUGUUCAGCAUUUGUUGCGAACUUUUGUGUUUACUUUUCGUUCAACUCUCGCGAGCUUCUGUUUAACUCAUAUGAGUUUCCGUUCAGCUCUAUUGAGCUUCUAUUUAACCUUAUGAGUUUCCGUUCAGCUCUUACGAGCUUCUAUGCAGCUCUUACGAGCUUCUAUUCAACCCUUUUGGGUUUCUGUUUAACUCUCAUGAGCUUCUGUUCAGCCUUAGGGCUUCUAUAAACGAUGUGCUCUUAUCCGUAAGCCGUUCUCCGAUUUGGUAAGAUUUGGUAAGUGACUUAUAUAAUUGAAAUUGAAAGACUUAUUGUUUAUUAUUGGUAUUGAUUAGAAAUAAGUGUGUUCAUCUAUUAAAGUUGUGAUUGGCAGAGAAUUUACAUUGAAUGAAUUUAUUUAAUUGAUGUGUUGUAGUAGGUUCGAUAAGAUUUUUGUUUAACCCAUCGAACUUACUAAGCUUCAUUAAGCUUACUCGAGAUGUUUAAUGUCUUUAUAGAUUUUUGAGAGGUCAGAAGAUCAGAUCAGUACAUCAAGUCACACUAUUCAGUUUAUUCCAGUAGUUUGAAACGUACACUAUGGUUUAUAUGGCAUGCAUAGGGUUGGAAUGGUUUUGAAUAAAGUUGGUUUGUGUAAAUAUUAUGAAUUACAUUUUGUUUAUAUUUCCAAUCAACUUAUAUAUGUAUGUGUAGUCUUAUCAUGCUUGGUAUAUGUUUGGGUGUAGUUAAUUGAUGGAUGGUUUACAGGCAUGUUGGUGAAUGAGAUAGUAUAGUAUAGAUGGUAUAAAUAUGUAAAUAUAUGUUUUGGUCAAUAUGGUAAAUUUGAAAUGCUAUGAUAUAUGAGAUAAUAUGACAUGCUAAGAGCUUGAGUUGAGUGUAUUGAAAGUCUUGUUAUGGCCUAUGAGUAUGAAUUUUGAAGUUUUAGGUUGAAAUCAAAUAUGGGUGAGAAAUGUAGCCUUCAAAUGACCUAUUUUUGUCACAUGGGUAGAGACAGGGACGUGUGUCUCAGUCGUGUGUGACACAGGGCCAAGCACAUAGGCAUCUGGUCUGGCCGUAUAUCCCCUGCAUCUUUAAAAUUGAGAAAUAGAAUGCCCAGGUAUUUUCACAUGACCUAACACACGGGCGUUUGGUUUGGUCGUAUGACCCUUGCACCUUAAUUUUACAAGUCAGUAUGCUCACAUGACCUAGCACACGAACGUGUGGCUCGGCCGUGUGACCUAAGUCAGUAAGCACCCUAAAUUAGACAUAGGUUGGGAUACGACUGUAUGCCCCACAUCGAAUACCCAAACGGCCUAAGACACGGGCGUGUGUCCCCUGCACCUAGGAAAACUUUUGAAGUUUUGUGAAAAAUUCUCUGAGUUCCCAAUUUAGUUCCGAUUCAUUUUAAGUGAGUAUUUUGGAUCUCGAUGACUCAUAUAAGGGACAAUAUGAGUGACUAUGGUUAGUUUCUGAUAUGUAUGUUAAUUAAUAUGAAAUGUUUGUAUUUGAUCUGAAAAGUUCGAUAAUGCUCCGUAACCUUGUUCCGGUGACGGAUAAAAGUUAGGGGUGUUGCAGAAAAAUCUUCUUCAGCUCCUUCUUCGUUGAAGGAACCUGAACUCGCCAAGUUCUCUACACUUGCCGAUACUUGGUGAGAAAAAAAUUUGGGAUUACUUCAAUUCUAUUCAACAAAGACUUUGAAAUGCUCUAAAAUGUUGCUUCUUUUUUUUUUUUUAACUUUUUUAUUAUGUGUAGGUGGGAUUCUGAAGGACCAUUUAAACCAUUGCAUAAAAUGAAUCCUACCAAGCUCGCUUUUUUACGCUCUACUCUUUGUCGACAUUUCUGGUAUAUAUCACUUGUGUUUCAAAAAGACAGAAUCUUUUACUAGCUGAACUUGUUUUGUAACUGUGUUUUGGAAUACUGAUUUCUGACAUUUAUGGAUUUUUCAAUUUAAUCCCUAACUGCAUUUGUUUGUGCAUGUUUGUUAUUGUAGAAAGGAUCCUCUCGCUGGCAGGCCCUUUAAAGGACUCAGGUUUAUCGAUGUCGGUUGCGGUGGUGGUAUUCUGUCAGAGGUAUUUACACAUGUCUGCCAUUGGAAUUCAUUUUUCUUAUAAUUAAUUUUCUUUCAUGCUUAACAUUAUUUAAUCUUGAAGAGCAUCAAUUUCUAGUUAGUCCCUGCCUUGUUCAUUGAAAAGCUCCAACGAGCACUCACAUAAAAUCUUGCUGGCAUUCUCGUUAAAAGACAUCUCUAUUUAUUACUUAAGAUUUCUUGAAAAUCUAGUGUUUAGUGCCUUUUUAUUGAAUGAGCUACUGUAAGCAAUUAAUCCUCUUUAGGCAUUUGACCGUUUUACAUUACUUCCAUUCAUUGGUAAUCUAGAUUUCAGGAAAUCUACGGGUUAGCAUAACCCUAUAACAAUAUGAUAUUAUGAGGUUCUCUAUUGUCUUUUAAAAUUUGCACUUGGUCAACUAUUGAGGAUCAAGAGGAGAUUGGGCAGAGAGCAGUGGAAAUGGUUGAUUGGCCAACUGAUUUGGGAAAAAUAGAAGGUUAGUACCCAAAUAAGCUAGUGAUCUUUUACUACGUGGAACCAAGGCAAGUUUUUCUUUUUCAAAUGUAAUUAUUCCUAUUAAAUUUAAAAAUGGCUGAAUAUAAUCCAAUUACAAAAACUAUAAAAACAACAUCUUUAUAGUAUUUGUCAUCCAACUCAACUAAGUUUAAAAACACUUUUUCUAUACAUACAUAAAUCAUCCAACAGAUGUGUAAUAUUUUGUAAUGUCAAGGUUCUCAUUACAGUCAAAUGAAGUCCAUGGUCAUUAAUUCCAUGCAAUAAAAGAUCAUGAGUGUAAUACCCAUUUUUGCCCGGCCCAUAAACCAAUCAUAAACCCAAUAAAAAAAUAGUCCAAUUACAAUUGAAGCCCAAUCACUAAAUCCAAUUACAAUACCCACAUAACCCAAUAUCCAGAAAACCCAAUCAGCCCAAGUCACUAACCCUAACCCAACACAAAAUAUUUUUCAGCCAACAGAAACCCUAGCAUCAGCCCUCCUUCCAGCACCGCAGCCAUCAGGGCCUCCCUCGCGCGUGAUGCGCCUCUGCGCGCGUGCACCUCCGUACGGCCAUACCUGCAGCAGACACAAACAAACAGCAACAGAAACAACCACGCAAAAAAGGAAAAUAACAGCAAGGAUAAAUUAGAAUUUUAUGAUUGUAUUUUUAAUUUUUAUUUGGAUCCGGCUAUAUAAAGCCGUGUUUGAAUCUGUAAAAGGGGUUCUUCCUCUACGCAAGAUCAAUUAAAAAAAAAGAAAUCAAAUACCAGUUUUGCUCGAAGGUAGUCUCUGAUUUAUUUUAGAUAGUUUCUUUUUUUUUCUUUUUUUUCCUCUCUUUUCUUUUUGAUUCGAAAGAAGAAGCGGAAUAAAGGAGGGAAAGUCUAAAAAGCUUACAUUUUUGCCAUCGUGACCAAGGUUCGCCGAUUCCCAUGAAAAUCAGCUCCUUUUUGCCUUAGAAUCAAAAAACGAGGGAAAAUAGAAAUUUUUUGGGUCUCCGGCGGUCGUCGACGCGAUCGUUUGGCGAGCUGGCCGGCCGGAUUCUGGGUUUUGAAGGAGAAAGAGAUAGAGGUUUCUCCGGGUUUUUUUUGGAAAAUAAAGGAAGAAAUGAAUUUUUUUUAAGAAAAAAUUUGGUAUUAUAGAGGACAUAAACGGCGCCGUUUUGAGCCUCAACCUCAAUGGCCAAAAACGACGUCGUUUGCCCAUAGCGACCCGCGCGGUGGCCCUACCCGGGGAGGAUCCGCGCAUUUUUGUUGCGUGGUCUAUUUGCGCCUUCGAUCCCUCCACUUUACUCCAUCUUUUUAAUUUCAUCUUUGUUUUUUUUUUGUAAUUUUCCCGCACAAAUUUUGAAUUUAUUUCAAUUCGGUCUUGAUUUAAAUGCUGCGUUUUGAGGGCACGGGAUUAUUUCCCUUUUUGGUCCCCAAUAUUACGCGCGUACUCUAAUACGGCCCUUAGACAUUUCUAAUUGCAUUUUCUUUCCCUUAAAUUUGGAUUUAACUUUAUAUUUAGUCCCCCUUGCGCUUUUUUAAAUUACUUAACUAUUUUUAUUAUUAUUGUUAUUAUUAUUAAUGUUACUAUAAUUAUUAGUAUUAUUAUUUGUAUUAGUUUAUGUGUUUAUUUAUUUAUGUACAUAUAUCAUUAUUUUGUUAUUUAUAUUAUUACUUUAAGUUUUGAAUUAUUAUCAUAUAUUAAUAGUUAGUUUCAUUACGUAUUUUUUUUAUGUAGUAUUAUUUUAUAUUAUAAAUAAAAUUGCAUUACCACUUUGGAUUUAUUAUACAUUUGUUUCAAAAUUUAUUGGGUAUUAUUGUUUAAUCUUCAUUAUAUAUUGUUAUUAUAAAUAUACGUACAUAUAUGUAUUAUUUAAUGUACUUUGAUUUAUUUUUACAUAAUACUUACUUUAAAAUUUAUUUGGACAUUAUUAUUUUAUGUAGUAUUUAUCUUUAACCGUAUUUUUAAUUUAUUUCAAAUUUUCAUUUAUGUAUUACUUAUUUUAAAUUUAUUUUAAUAUAUAAUUUCCUUUCUUUCAUAUUUUUUAGUCAUUUCAAACUUGUACAUUGGGUUGGUGUUUGUAUUAAUUCACUUGUUUCUUAGUAUUUUUUUUAUUACUAUUAGCCUUUAAAUGUUAAUGUUGAUAUUUACAUGUGAUGUGAAAUUAUUGUCUUUAUGCGUAUGGUAUUUGUUUAUUGGUAUUCAUUUAUUAUUAGUGUUUAUUAACUUAUAUUGCGGUUUAUGAAUUAUCGCCUCACGUCGUGCAUUGUUAUUCCAUUGUGCUUUAUUCGUUCAAAAAGUCGUGUUUAAUAUGGUUUAAUAUCAAAACCGAUUUAUUCAAAAACUUUCAAGAUAAUGCAAAGUUCGGUAUUUGGAAUCUUCGAAAGAAUUGAGCCCUAACAUAUUGGGUUCCAAUUUUCCUCGUUGAAUCUAAAUAAUCGAAGAUUUUCUUUAAUUAAAACAUAAAUAAAAAGCUCAUUCUCGGGAAUUCGAUACGUGGUGUCCUAACGCAUUGGAUGUUACAUAUUGUUUUCUCGAGAUGAGGAUUUUUCUAACAAAUGAAAAUAAUGGCAAUAUUCGAUAUUUAGGAAUUUUGUGAAAUCAAACCAUAACUUACUGGGUUUUGAUUUUAUCAUUUGACCCAAAUAAUCAAAUACCCUUCUUAAAAUGCAAAGGUUUUGAAAAUCGAGAGAUAGACUUAAUUUUGAGGAUUUAAAAUGUUGCACUCUAACUUAUUGAGUGCGACAAUUUAUUACUUUGAAAUAAGUGAGUCUCAUCAUCCAAUUUAUUUAUUCAAAUUUUCUUUUCAAAGGAUCGUAUUUUAAAAUCGUUUCAAAUUCUCGACACUAAGACAUUAAAUAAUCAGUUCGGUAACAAUUUUGGGCGUUACGAUGGUGCUAACCCUUCCUCGUGCGUAUUUUCUCAAGAUUUGUAGACCUAAAAUCGUUUUCAAGGUGAUCCGAUCACGCCUCAUUAAAGAUCGGUGGCGACUCCCAUUUUCGUUUCGUUUUCAAGUCGAUAACAAACUUUUUUAUUUUUCAAAAAAAAAGUGGUUUCGACAAUGAGCAUAUUUUUUUUACUCUUACUGAAGUCAGGUAUUUAGAUAUUAUCCCCAAAGAGGUGAUGACUUGGAAACCUCCUAUAUAUUUUCAGGUGUUAUCAGAAAAGACUAUUCUGUUUGUAGCUAUUAUAUUUGAUUUGGCUAUGUUAAGGUUGAAGAACGAUUGAUCUAAAUGCUUUUUCUUCAUUUUCCUUUUACAUUUAUCAUUCUUUUGAGGAGUUUGUGCAGAAUUUCUGAUAGUUAAAUCUACUUACGGAAACAUCAAGCAUCUGAAUAGGAAAAUAACCUUUUUAAAUUUCAUAUAUUUAUUGAUGGAUGCUAUGAUGCUUCAUUCUACUUUUGUUUGUUUUUUCUUUCUUUCCUUUUUCCCUUUUCCGUUUUUGCUUUUUUCUCCUAGUAGACAUUGAUACAAACUGCUAAAGUUAGAUCUGCUAUUUUGUUGGUAUCUAUAAUGUUCCUUUAUCCUCUCAGCCGCUGGCUCGAAUGGGAGCAACUGUCACUGGAAUUGAUGCAGUAGAGAAAAACAUCAAGAUUGCCCAUCUUCAUGCUGUAUGUUAGUUUCUUUUCAACCAUUUCAUGAUAUUUUGAUAGUGUUAUUUUUUGUACAUGCAAGUGUAGUCUUUCAUAAUUUUCUUAUUACUAGAAAUAUUCCAGUUUUUGCAGCAUUAUUUCUUCCAUUCAUGUUAGCCUGAGCAUGUCUACAUCUUAGGUUGACUUUAGUUAUAACUGCACAUGGGGUUGAAAGAAAAGAUUAUUAUUUGCUUAUUUAAUGAUAACUCUAUUUUAGGUCUAUGGUUUUGAAGAUAUUGUGUCGUCUCAAGGCUUUCUACUUGUCUUUGAAAGAAUAAGGUCAAACAAGAUUCUGUUAUUUAAUCAGGCAUGACUUUCUUUAUAUGAAAACUUCUUGAAAUGGAAAGCUCUUACCUGGUUCUACCGUGGCACAACUAGCUAGUUAGGUAGGUGAGUGGAUAUAUGUUGAGUAUUUUUCAUGUAAAGAAGUCUUCAAGUUUUAAGCAACAGGUUUAUACUCAAUAAUCAAAUCAUUCUAGCUUUUCCACAAUAUCUGAAACAUUUUCCAAGUUAUUUUCAAUUUAUAAAAUCAUCCUAAACAAAUUAAUGGUUUCCUACCUUGUCCAUCUGUGUCUUUCAUUCAUUCAUUCCUAUCAUUCAUUUAUUUUCGUUUGAAAUAAAUAUCCGGACCCAUCAUUUUAAAGCCUCCCUCUUCGAAAUGUUACUUCUUAAGCAAGCAGAGUGUGACUUGAGUUUUCUUUCCAGCAAUAAUUUGGCAUAUGUUAUCAUUUAUAUAUAUUUGCUUCCUGCUACAAAUUUUUUGAGAUGAAUCUUUUGUAUCUGAAUACUAUUGCACCAAAUUACAAGUCUAAAAGUUUACAGUUCUGAGUGCCUGUAACUCAUUCAUGUUAUUGUGUUUUAGACUUGAACUUGGAUUUUAUGAUAUACCUUCCUCUACAGAAUUUGGAUCCAACAACUUCAACUAUUGAAUACUGUUCUACAACAGCAGGUACAUUCUAAGCUUAAUUCUUCUGUAGGUUAAUCUCUCUGCUAAUCUAGAUCUAUAAUUAGUUAAAUGAGCGUUGCUUUCUGUUCUUUUUCAAACUUUUAAACCUUUUGAGAUGGUGACGUUUCUGGAUGAGUGGAAUGUGGAUGUGGAGGGCAUCAGGACAAAGUACUUGUUGGGCUGCUUCUCUGACACUGAAUCGGGUUGAAAUGUGAAUGAGAACAUGCAGCCAAAUUUAGUAGUAGUUCUCAUGCAAAUAAAAUCAUCAUGAUAGAACUGUCAUAUGUAAAAUUCUCUCAAAGUAGCCCUCUACUAGGAACUUGAUGUUUCGGAGCAGAUAACCUGGAAAAUUUACAACUGAAAAAAGGAUAAAUGCUAGCUGAGUUUUCUGUAGCCGGGUUUUUUUACUCAAAUUUACCAG